UCUGUCUUAAAACAUAUUAGGAUCAUUUAUAAACACUUAAAAACCCUAUAGCAAACCACCACUACAAAUCUGGAGAACCACAUCGACCCACCAGAGAUUUAUGAGAGAAUUUCAAAAUUUCACUGCUCCGUCGAAGAUCUCCGGCCAGGUAAUCCCCUAAAUAUCUGCUCUCUCUUUCCAGUCUGAUUGAUUUUUCAAAAAACCCCACAUCUGAGAAGUUAUCAGCCUCCACUUCCUUUGUCAGAUGGUGUUUCGAUCCCAGAUGGUGUUUCUGAACAAAGUACCCAUGUUACAUGAUGAUGGUUGUAGGGGUAAACAUCAAGAGCAAUUCAACGAUUGAGGUAAAGGCAACUAUGAAGAUGAAGAUGGAAAAAGGAGACCAAAUGCAUACGAGUUCUGUGAUGAAGAUAGUCGUCAGUUAGUUAGGUUAUGUACAUCGUUGUGUUGUGUGAUUUGCCUAAUUCGGUUUGUUUGUGAAUUUACUUGUAUAUUGGUUUCGAGUACAUGCUUCAAUAAUUUGUGGUUUUAAGACAUGCUUUAUAGUUAGUGAGAUACUUUUAUAAUUAAUAUUUGUUCUAUACGGUUUAGCAUAAAAAUACUGCAAUUAGAUUUUAGAAAUUGGAACGUACGGGUUGAAAAGUAAAAUUUGGGCUAGGAUUUGAUUAUGUUAACCAAGAGUAAUUAUUAGUAGUAAUAAGUGAGCCAAUAACCCCAGUAACAUGCACUACCAUGUUAUGAAAGAUCACAAUGAAACUGAAAGAGAGGGAGAGAGAGAUUGUAUUUCAUUUGUCUUUUUUUGCUUAUUGGAGUAAAGAGGAGUGUUGGUGUAAUGAGCAUGUUUUAUAACAUCUUAUUAUUAUAAUUUAUGUGCAGCUGCGGUACCAAAUCUUGCCAUGGUUGAGAUUGUGUGUGGUGUGCACUGUGCAGAAUCUUAUAUCCUUUUUCCUGAGUUCAAAACAGUCUUUGGUCAUCAGUUGGUGCAUCACUGAGGACCGUUACAUGUUUUGAAGAGCUAAGUGCUGAUUAUGUAAAAGGGGAUCUACAUGCUAAUGACCUAACACCUGCUCUAUCAAAGGCCUUAAACAGGAUUAUAAAGAUUUCAUAGUUACAACUUCAUCGGAGGAUAUACAGGUUAACUGCAGCCAUUCCCCAAAUCAAAGUAUAGUUUUAUGGCGAUGUUUGGUUGGUGGCGUGGUAUGGCAUUGGCAAUGUGAUCAACCGAUGUCGCUUUAUAUCAGUCACGAGGCUUCAAAGCUAUGGAAAAGAAUUUGUGCAAAAACCACAACGGAAUUCAAUCUUCUCGCGGACAACUAGAAGUAUAUUCUCGCCGGUUUAAUUUGCCAGUACAUUCAUGGGCUGGCAGCUCAAGGAGUCCACUAUCUUCAUCGCCCCUGCCCGUUCUCUAGGACAUUGGCUUCUUUCUACUUCCUGAACAUCAAUUAUUGAAAGACCGUAAGAAGAAUAUCAAAAAACGACUCGGGUUUGUGGGGAAAACGGUUCAAUAAAUUCAUCACAAGGUGUCUCAAAUCAGAACAAUAACAAAGGAGACUCGUCUCCUGUUAAAGAAAGCCAGAUAGAAGAAAAGAUCAGGCAAUAGAUUGAACUCACAAGGUCUCCUGAUUCAGUUUAGUUAUAACUUAAAACUCAAUGGCUGCUACUUCAGGAGCUCUCCUUCAAGUGUUAUGUAGCACAGGGCCUAGCGUAUCUCAUACGCAUUUAUGCCCAAAUAUGUCAAAAUCCCUGGUUUCAACUAACCAUGGUUUGGGUUAUAGAAUUGAAAAAGUAAAAAUUUCAAGUCGGAAAAGUUACAACGUGAUCUCAGUGUUAUCGUGGGCCAAAUCUUAUUGAACGUUUUAGGGCUUUAACUUGUAAUUGCCGCAAGAUUGAAAGUGUUAGUGACGCGAUUAAUGAAAAGAGCGAUCUGCUUCUUAAAGGUGAAUUAUCUACAAAUGGGAAUGAGGCAUUUAGUAGUUUGUUGAAUAUAGAAAUAAAUUCCAUAGAGGAAGAAGCAUGGGAGUUAUUACGUGCGUCAAUGGUUUAUUAUUGUGGUAAUCCGAUUAGAACCAUUGCUCCUAAUGACCCAAGUGAUUCUAGCAUUCUGAACUACGAUCAAGUUUUCAUUCGUGAUUUUAUACCAUCGAGUAUAGCGUUUCUUCUAAAAGGAGAGUUUGAUAUUGUUCGGAACUUUAUCUUACACACCCUUCAAUUGCAGGUAAUUGAACAGUGUGAUUACAUAUCAUUUUGUAAUCUUCUUCAUUCAUAAAUUAGCUAAACGUAUUGUUAGUAUUUUUCGUAUUUAUACGAAUAGAGUUGGGAGAAAACCAUGAAUUGUCAUAGUCCUAGUCAAGGGUUAAUGCCUGCAAGCUUUAAGGAGUGUAUGGUUCCUCUUGAUGGUGAUGAUUGAGAAAGAUGUGUUGCUACAAAUCAGGUUAUGAUGUCGAGGAAGAAACAUUGAUUUGAGAAAGAUGUGUUGCUACUUGUUGGUCCUUUGUUUUUAAUAGGAAGUUACCUGGUGCAGGAAAUUUAAGAUGUGAAAAGAUUUAGGUAAAUGAUUAAGACACCACAUGAGGCGUUUGAUUAUAUAUUUAAAAGGUCCAUAACCAAAAUAUGUAUUGCAGUUGAGAAUAGAAUUAGUAUAAUACUUAUUUUUAAUUCUGAGUGUAGAUCCUUAGUGUAAUAAUCAGUUAGGUUAGUUCAAUAACUUUGUGUUCAUGAUUAAAGAAGUAAAAUAUGCCAUGCAUGAUUAGUUAUUUAAUAUUUUUUAAGUUGAGUGCCUCACAUAUGUGAUGCUCUCGCCUCGUCUAGCGCUUCGUGCCUCGGCUUUUGAGAUCUAAACGCCUCGAAGCGCCUUGACCUUUUUAAAACUUAGCCGCCAAAUCGUGAACUGAACCGUUUAAAUCUCAAAAACGUUCAGUUUUAAUGAUUUGUGAACACUCUUAUAAUGUGUUCAAUUGGAUAUAAAUCUUUACAACCUAUUUAGUUGUUUAUGUCAAAUAUAUAGGUUAGUAUUGUACUAAGUUCAGAAUGUGUUUGUAUACAUUCUUUUUGUACAGGUCUGCAAUAACUGGAUCAAUUGGAAAGCAAUGUGAAUAUUGACUUGUGUACCUUUUUUUAUAGACCAUGUAGAACAAAUCAGGCUGGAUGAUCCAGACGUCCGUUUUGAACGUGCCUCGAGAUGUCAGGAUAGUGAGUUUAGUGUAAAUAUGAUAUAUAUUGUUUUCUUAGUUAUUUUAAAUAGUUUUUGAUGACAUGUCAUGUCAUGGUGUCAAGUUUAGUGUAUAUAUGAUAUAUACUUUUUGGUUUUUUAUGACAUGUUAUGCCAUGGUGAUUCAUUGUUUAAUAAAAUUUGGUAUGUAAAAUUUCUAAACACC